rnacentral:rRNA from 1 species
GUGGGGAAUCUUCCGCAAUGGACGAAAGUCUGACGGAGCAACGCCGCGUGAGUGAAGAAGGUCUUCGGAUCGUAAAGCUCUGUUGUUAGGGACGAACGGUAUAUAUAUGAAAAAUAUAAAUACAUGACGGUACCUAAAGAGGAAGCCACGGCUAACUACGUGCCAGCAGCCGCGGUAAUACGUAGGUGGCGAGCGUUGUCCGGAAUUAUUGGGCGUAAAGGGCGCGUAGGCGGGAUUGUAAGUCUGUUGUAAAAGUGCGGGGCUCAACCCCGUAAGGUCAAUGGAAACUGCAAUUCUUGAGUGCAGGAGAGGAAAGUGGAAUUCCCAGUGUAGCGGUGAAAUGCGUAGAUAUUGGGAGGAACACCAGUGGCGAAGGCGACUUUCUGGACUGUGUCUGACGCUGAGGCGCGAAAGCCAGGGGAGCGAACGGGAUUAGAAACCCUUGUAGUCC